rnacentral:rRNA from 1 species
AUACGGAGGGUGCAAGCGUUGUCCGGAUUUAUUGGGUUUAAAGGGUGUGUAGGCGGUGUAUUAAGUCAGUGGUGAAAGCCUGCGGCUCAACCGUAGAACUGCCAUUGAUACUGACACACUUGAGUAUGGACGAGGUAGGCGGAAUUUAUGGUGUGGCGGUGAAAUGCAUAGAUACCAUAAAGAACACCGAUAGCGAAGGCAGCUUACUAGGCCAUAACUGACGCUGAGGCACGAAAGCGUGGGGAGCAAACAGGAUUAGAAACCCCGGUAGUCC